rnacentral:tRNA from 1 species
AAGGUCCUAGCUUAAUUAAGGCGUCUGGGUUGCAUUCAGGAGAUGUAGGUUAGUGUCCUACGGGCCUUA